ensembl:lncRNA
CACCUGAGUCAAGGAGAAACAAUCAACAAAAUAAACUAGUUCAUAGUUAAUGCAUUAUGUAUUUUCCCGGCGCCGGCUAAGUCGCUUCCCCAACACUGCGAUCACCGGUUCGGCGAUACCCGAUGCGCGCUCCUGUGGUGACUGCUCAAGUGCACGGGAUGUUUCUCAGUCUAGGCUGCGGUAUUUUCCAGCAUGUUAUUCUCUAGAAUGAAUCGUGUAGUGUGAACCUCUCCGCGAAUAGUAGCAAGUACAGCUAACAAACAGCCGAUGAGAGUCUGAGAUGAAAUUCCUUAAAAUAUCGGAGUCUCUGCUCAAGCAGUAUAGACAAACAGUCGCCACGGGAGCGCGAGCCCUACUGGAGCGCGAGACAAACCAACACAAAUAGUGGCUAAUUAUUAUAAAUAUUGUCUGAUCAUAUGACGUGCACCAUGUCUAAUCUACACUGUAUGUGGUCACAAAUUUGGACGUACACAAUUGUCUAGAAUGUAUUUGUAUGGUGCCGCAUUACAAUUUUCCUUGACUGGAACUAAGACUGAGACUGAUGUUCCAGCAUUACAAUACCUCGUCACUAAUGCAUUUGUGGAUGACUGAGCACAAAUCCCCACAGCCACGCUCCAAAAUCUAGUGCAAAGCCUUCCCAGAAGAGUGGAGGUUAUUAUAAUGGCACAUGGGGAAUAAAUCUGGAAUGGGAUGUUCUACAAGGACACAUGGGUCUGAUGCCCACAAAAUUGUGGCCAUAUAGUGUAGUCAUUUAAAGAAAGCAGCAGAUUCAGCUUACCGUCACAGAUGUAUUGAGCUGUACUCAUAUUUUCCUUUUUGAAAUAAUUUCUUGUAUUUUGCUGAGAAGAAAGUCCGUCUUCCGAUGACUUUGUUGUCGCACAGCUGUUUAUAAAUGUACAUGUCAGAUAAACUCAGUCCACAACACAUCCUGCACGCAGGCAGGCGUUUUUAAUGGCUCUCAGAGCGGGGAGGCCGAGUACUACAGCUUACGUAAGUAAAAAAAACUAUCAGAAGCAAGAGCAGGGGUGGAACUUCCCCUAAGUCGCAGUCUAUCUCGACGCGGAAACCGCAGUUAUUAGACGUAACAAAUUCGACGCUUCAGCAUAUAAAGUGAACGCGUUUGAGGAGACGCAGAAACGUUUUUUGGAGCCUCACCUCGGACCACGAUACCAAAACGCAGGAAAACAUCUUUCUCUCUGGUUUCAACCCAAAAACUACAACAUGAU